rnacentral:ncRNA from 1 species
GCGUCCUGCCUCUUGAUCGUCUUCUCACCGUUCACCCGGCAGGCGGAAAGAAGGAAGCCCCCGCGAGGACAGGACUCGCGGGGGCUUCCG